UAGUCAACUACAAGGGUGAGGAGAAGCAGUUCGCUGCUGAAGAGAUCUCCUCCAUGGUGCUCAUCAAGAUGAGGGAGAUUGCUGAAGCCUACCUCGGCUCUACGAUCAAGAACGCAGUGGUGACCGUGCCGGCCUACUUCAACGACUCGCAGAGGCAGGCCACCAAGGACGCCGGUGUCAUUGCGGGCCUCAAUGUGAUGCGUAUCAUCAACGAGCCCACUGCCGCUGCUAUUGCCUACGGUCUUGACAAGAAGGCCACCAGUGCUGGCGAGAAGAACGUGCUCAUCUUCGACCUUGGCGGUGGCACGUUUGAUGUGUCGCUGCUCACCAUCGAGGAGGGCAUCUUCGAGGUGAAGGCCACUGCGGGUGACACUCACCUUGGAGGCGAGGACUUCGACAAUCGCAUGGUGAACCACUUCGUCCAAGAGUUCAAGCGCAAGCACAAGAAGGACCUCAGCGGCAACCCCCGUGCACUGCGCCGGCUGCGCACGGCGUGCGAGCGCGCCAAGCGCACGCUGUCAUCGACCGCCCAGACGACCAUCGAGAUCGACUCCCUGUUCGAGGGCAUCGACUUCUACUCCACGAUCACCAGGGCUCGCUUCGAGGAGCUCAACAUGGACCUGUUCCGCAAGUGCAUGGAACCUGUGGAGAAGUGUCUGCGCGACGCCAAGAUGGACAAGAGCAGCGUGCACGACGUCGUGCUCGUCGGUGGCUCCACCCGCAUCCCCAAGGUGCAGCAGCUGCUGCAGGACUUCUUCAACGGCAAAGAGCUGUGCAAGAGCAUCAACCCCGACGAGGCCGUGGCCUACGGCGCGGCUGUCCAGGCCGCCAUCCUCAGCGGCGAGGGCAACGAGAAGGUGCAAGACCUGCUCCUGCUCGACGUCACGCCACUGUCACUCGGUCUGGAGACUGCAGGUGGUGUCAUGACGGUGCUCAUCCCGAGGAACACCACCAUCCCGACCAAGAAGGAGCAGGUCUUCUCCACGUACUCCGACAACCAGCCGGGCGUCCUGAUCCAGGUGUACGAGGGUGAGCGCGCGAGGACCAAGGACAACAACCUCCUCGGCAAGUUCGAGCUCUCGGGCAUCCCUCCUGCUCCCCGCGGCGUGCCUCAGAUCACGGUCACCUUCGACAUCGACGCCAACGGCAUCCUCAACGUCUCUGCCGAGGACAAGACCACCGGCCAGAAGAACAAGAUCACGAUCACCAACGACAAGGGCAGGCUUAGCAAGGAGGAGAUUGAGAAGAUGGUGCAGGAGGCUGAGAAGUACAAGGCUGAGGACGAGGAGGUCAAGAAGAAGGUGGACGCCAAGAACACGCUCGAGAACUACGCCUACAACAUGAGGAACACCAUCAAGGAUGACAAGAUCGCCUCCAAGCUCCCGGCAGAGGACAAGAAGAAGAUUGAGGACGCCGUCGAUAGUGCCAUCAGCUGGCUGGACAGCAACCAGCUGGCUGAGGUGGACGAGUUUGAAGACAAGAUGAAGGAGCUUGAGGGGAUCUGCAACCCCAUCAUCGCGAAGAUGUACCAGGGCGCUGGCGCGGGCAUGGGCGAUGCUGCUGGCAUGGAUGAGGACGCCCCGUCUGGUGGGAGCGGUGCUGGUCCUAAGAUCGAGGAGGUCGAUUAAGUUGUUUUAGUGU
rnacentral:lncRNA from 1 species